rnacentral:miRNA from 1 species
CCACUUAAACCUGCCGGUUCGAAC